rnacentral:rRNA from 1 species
GACGAACGCUGGCGGCGUGCUUAACACAUGCAAGUCGAACGGAAAGGCCUUUUCGGAGGUACUCGAGUGGCGAACGGGUGAGUAACACGUGGGUGAUCUGCCCUGCACUCUGGGAUAAGCCUGGGAAACUGGGUCUAAUACCGGAUAGGACCGCACUUUAGUGUGUGUGGUGGAAAGUUUUUUCGGUGUAGGAUGAGCCCGCGGCCUAUCAGCUUGUUGGUGGGGUAAUGGCCUACCAAGGCGGCGACGGGUAGCCGGACUGAGAGGUUGGUCGGCCACAUUGGGACUGAGAUACGGCACAGACUCCUACGGGAGGCAGCAGUGGGGAAUAUUGCACAAUGGGCGCAAGCCUGAUGCAGCGACGCCGCGGGGGGGAUGACGGCCUUCGGGUUGUAAACUACUUUCGCCAGGGACGAAGCGUUUUGUGACGGUACCUGGAGAAGAAGCACCGGCUAACUACGUG